GUCCACGCCGUAAACGAUGGGUGCUAGGUGUUGGGGGUGUCGACUCCCUCCGUGCCGAAGCUAACGCAUUAAGCACCCCGCCUGGGGAGUACGGCCGCAAGGCUAAAACUCAAAGGAAUUGACGGGGGCCCGCACAAGCAGCGGAGCAUGUGGUAUAAUUCGACGCAACGCGAAGAACCUUACCUAGGCUUGACAUGCACGGGAAUGUCGUGGAAACACGGCAGCCCUUCGGGGCUCGUGCACAGGUGUUGCAUGGCUGUUGU
rnacentral:rRNA from 1 species